rnacentral:rRNA from 1 species
GCUGUAAAGCUAGCCUAAAAAUGAUAACCAAAGUGAACAAACAUAUAUAACCCCACAUGUUUUGAAAGUACUAAACAAACCAUUUUCCCACCUUAGUAUGGGCGACAGAAAAGGAAAUUAGAGCUAUAGAGAAAGUACCGUAAGGGAAAGCUGAAAGAGAAAUGAAAUAACUCAUUAAAGCACAAAGAAGCAGAGAUUAAACCUCGUACCUUUUGCAUCAUGAUUUAGCCAGUAAAAUUCAGGCAAAGAGCACUUAAGUCUGACACCCCGAAACUAAACGAGCUACUCCGAGACAGCCUAUCCAGGGCCAACCCGUCUCUGUGGCAAAAGAGUGGGAAGAUCUCCGAGUAGAGGUGACAGACCUAACGAGUUUAGUUAUAGCUGGUUGCUUAGGAAAUGGAUAUUAGUUCAGCCCCAUGGCCUUCUUAGAUCAAAUGAUAAGAUAUUUACCAAAUAAGAACCAAAGAUAACCAUGAGAGUUAGUCAAAAGAGGUACAGCUCCUUUGACAAAGAAUACAACCUUAAAAGAUGGAUAAGGAUCAUAAUGACCAAGGUAAUCUGCUUCAGUGGGCUUAAAAGCAGCCAUCUGAGUAGAAAGCGUUAAAGCUCAGGCAGAAUCAAAACCUAUUAUCCUGAUAAUAAAUCCUACUCCUCUAAAAGUACUAAGCCACUCUAUACAACUAUAGAAGCGAUAAUGCUAAAAUAAGUAAUAAGAAGGUAUGACCUUCUCCUAGCACAUGUGUAAGUCAGAUCGGACACCCCACUGACAAUUAACGAACCCAACAAAAGAGGGAAGCACAAGACACAACAUAACCAAGAAAAAUCUGUGACAAAUAUCGUUAACCCAACACAGGAGUGCAAAAAGGAAAGACUCAAAGGAAAAGAAGGAACUCGGCAAACACGGGCCUCGCCUGUUUACCAAAAACAUCGCCUCUUGCAAAAACCAAAGUAUAAGAGGUCCCGCCUGCCCAGUGACUCUGAGUUAAAUGGCCGCGGUAUUUUAACCGUGCAAAGGUAGCGUAAUCACUUGUCUUUUAAAUGAAGACCCGUAUGAAUGGCAUCACGAGGGCCCAGCUGUCUCCUUUUCCCAGUCAAUGAAAUUGAUCUGCCCGUGCAGAAGCGGGCAUGUAAACAUAAGACGAGAAGACCCUAUGGAGCUUAAGAUAUAUGACCAACCGCGCUUAGUAACCCUAAACCCAAAAGGAAACAAAAGGCAAAAGCGUAGCGGAACAUGGACUGAAUAUCUUCGGUUGGGGCGACCGCGGAGGAAAACAAAGCCUCCAUGUGGACUGAGGGCCAAGCCCUUAAAGCCAAGAGACACAACUCUAAGCAACAGACAAAUCUGACCAAAAAUGAUCCGGGCCAAAGCCCGAUCAACGGACCAAGUUACCCUAGGGAUAACAGCGCAAUCCUUUCCCAGAGUCCAUAUCGACGAAAGGGUUUACGACCUCGAUGUUGGAUCAGGACAUCCUAAUGGCGCAGCAGCUAUUAAGGGUUCGUUUGUUCAACGAUUAAAGUCCUACGUGAUCUGAGUUCAGACCGGAGUAAUCCAGGUCAGUUUCUAUCUAUGCAGUGACCCUUCCUAGUACGAAAGGACCGGAAGGAGUGGGGCCAAUUCUAAAAGUACGCCCCACCCCCAUCUGAUGAAAUCAACUAAAACAGAAAGGGGGAACAAUAAAGCAGCCCAAGAUAAUGGCGC